rnacentral:rRNA from 1 species
UACGUAGGGUGCAAGCGUUGUCCGGAAUUAUUGGGCGUAAAGAGUUCGUAGGCGGGCCCGAGGUCCGCGGUGAAAGCCCCCGGCCCAACCGGGGAAGCGCCGCGGAUACCGGGGCCUCGAGCGGUGUGAGGGCACGCGGAACUUCGGGUGGAGCGGUGAAGUGCGUAGAUAUACCGAAGGAACGCCGGUGGCGAAAGCGGCGAUGCUGGGCACCUCCUGACGCUGAGGCGCGAAAGCCAGGGGA